CUGUAUUAUUAGCUGACCUUGAUUUUGUUGUUGCGCAGGUCUACUAUGUCUAUGGUUUUAUGCUUCUUGUAUUUAUUAUCCUGAUCAUUGUCACUGUUUGUGUGACAAUUGUGGGCACAUAUUUCUUGCUGAAUGCGGAAAACUACCAUUGGCAGUGGACUUCGUUCUUCUCUGCUGCCUCAACAGCUCUUUAUGUGUAUUUAUAUGCGAUAUAUUACUAUCAUGUAAAGACUAAGAUGUCCGGUUUCUUCCAGACCAGCUUUUACUUUGGCUACACUAUGAUGUUCUGCCUUGGCCUCUGUAUCCUUUGUGGUGCUGUAGGAUAUCUCGGCUCUAAUUUGUUCGUUAGGAGGAUUUACAGAAAUAUCAAGUGUGAUUAAGUGCCUAAAUGAAGCAAUAUUGAAACGCUGCGCCACAGUUUUGCAUGCCUGCCACUUGAGAGAAGAGUUCAGAGGAUUUCCAGAUAAUACCACAGCAAUUUGGUCACCUAAUGUGAAUGAAGAUUAUUUUGAGAAGAGGAUAGAAAAUUAGUUUUUAUUUCCAAUUUUCUGGUUUAGAAUGGGUGAAAGUGUUUAGUAAGUUCUGUGGGAGGAAACACUGGAAGAUUGUUUCUUAGUGCAUAGAUAAUAUUACUUACAUUUGUUAUUACUUGAAAGGACAUAAUCAACACUGUAUUUUGGAAUACGUUGAGAAUCAUUUUAUGAUGAAGCAACAUAUUACUUCAA